UUUUCAUAAAAUCAAACAAUCGAUUGUCUGGCUUUGACAAUCGAUUGUGGAUGGUCCAGUAGCUUAAAAACCUUUUCAGAAAACCAAACAAUCGAUUGUCUGGUUUUGACAAUCGAUUGUGUUGGUCCAGUAAGGUUAAAAACGUUUCAACUCUCUUAAGUUUCAGUGAAUAUUAAUUGUUUUAAAUUCCAUCAAUUCUUAUAUUUAGAAUUGUCCUAUCAUGUUAACAACGAUUAAUAAUCAAGUGUUACAUAUCAAAAUAUGUAACACAUUAAGUUGAGAUUCAUAAAAUGGCUUAACGAACUAAAGUUUAAAGCAUCUAAUAUUUUAGUUAUUCAAUUGAAGCACUAUGUUGCCAAAGUAACCUCUAUUGUGUA
rnacentral:lncRNA from 1 species